ensembl:lncRNA
CGUGUUUCACUUCAAUUUUAUUAUUUAUCGCGCAACAUAAAACAAUAUUGUGGGUUGUUUUUUUAUUCUUUUUUUCUUUUUUAACCACAUACACUAUGUAUUCACAUAAUACACCAUACAGCUACAAAGAGAGAGAGAGACUGAACAAAAACACUUUUUUUCCUUUUUUUUUACAUACUGCAUCCUUGACAUGAAAAAUAAAGAACCAAGAACAAUCCUCAAACUUAAAGGAAUGUAGCUGCCAGUUGUGUUGGUUCACUUUCUUUUUCUUUCUUUUCCUUUUAUUUAAUUUUAUGGGUCAGGGUCUCUAUCCCAAAUUUCAAGUGUGCGUUAAAUUAGGACUGUGGGCCGUACACAGUUAGAUGCAAAUCUAUGUGUGUUUAUCUAUGUGUGUCACAAACUAUACAAAAUUUAGAAGAAAGAGAGGGAGUGAGUAAAGGAAGUGCAUCACUUGGGAGAGGAAGAGGGAGGCAGUACGCAAUUUUUUUUUUUGUUUUUUUUUUGUGUCGUUCAAAUAUCUUAGCAUUCAGUUAACAUGAACAUGUACAACAUACUCAAAAGAUCAUUUGAAUAGCCUCUGGUACUUGCAAAGUACCAAAUGUAAAACCCAGCUAACAGUCUUCAUAUAAUAUGAUUCUAUAUCUCGUCCUAUUUUAAAUGAAUUCAAGUACAGUAUGGAAUGAAGAUUAAUAGAGAAUGUAAUCAACAGUUUGAGUGCACCACCUGCCCUCAAAAAGAGAUGUAAAUUUGUAGCGUUGUAACAAAAGACUUUUCAUAAAGUCAGCACCAGGGCAGCUUCCCUUCCUGUGAAACUGCUUUAAUCAAAAGUAUAGUUCUCUUGACAUUCGAAGAGCUCAGAAAAAUAUUUGUGGUAAUUAUUUAUCCCUCGCUUUUUUUUCCUUUUUUGUAUUUUUUUUAACACAGUGAAUUUUUAAGGUAUAGCAUCAUAGCACCGACUGAACCGACUCACCCCCCAGGAUCUCAGUACUUGUCCACUUGGGAGGUGGUGCCUCUCAUGAGAACCAUCUACCAAAGUUAUGAAGCAUUUAGAAAUGUACAAAGUCACCAAGAUAUCAUAUGCACCAUAUCCUCAGCACCCUUUUGUUGUUUCGGUAAUUGUUUGUGUUGUGUGUGUGUGUGUGUGUGUGUGACUAAUAUAUGGGCAAGUCUUAAGCUCGAUAAGUAAAAUGGGUCUUGUUACUGUACUAUCAAACUACUGUUAGACAUGGCGUGGGUCAUCUAAUUAUCAUGGCAAAUGAAAGAUCUGCAGUCUUCCGCAGGGGAGCUGUGAUUUUUCUGCCACGUGCAUACUUGGCUAUUAUAAAAGCUAGAGCGAAUAAUAAUGAUGAGACAUCUAAGCAAGCAGGGCGGUGGUAACACAACUGACAAAGACUGCUGGGCAGUAACUCAUUAAAACGUCACCCAAUGUGUCACCUCAGACUGGCUCCGUGGCAGUCAGUAUAGUUAUAGGGGGUGUUUGAUAUUAAAAGAAUAGUUCAUCAUUGAAAAACUUAUUCGCUCUCCUGUUGACACUCAGAAGACAAACUCUGUACUGUUCUAAAGUCUGUAUGAUAAAUAUGAAGCCGCAGCUAUGAGACAGCUGAGAUUAGCAUAAAGACCGGGCACACAGGAAGCAACAUAAGUGACAAAAUCUGCCCGCCAGCAGCUUUAAAGCUCACUCUGUUUUCUUGUUGUUAGAUUUUUUUUCUUUGCAGGGGAAUGUGUACCAGACGGUUUCCAGGCUGCUAGCAGUGAUUCUUUUUUAUUUUUUAUGAAAUAUCUGCUGGUGGCUUUGUUAGCCUGGGUUCUAACCCCCAGUAAAAUCACAAUGUGACAGUGGUGUUGACAAAGCUUACUUAACGUGUGUUAAAGAGGUUUAAAGUGCCGGCAGUUAGAUUUUAGUUAGGCUAGCUGUUUCCCCAUGUUUUCAGCCACUCUGCUAAGCUAAGCUAAUCAGCUGCUUAAGUCAAGCUAGUAAACUAGCCAAGAGGUAACUCUUAUCACGCUCAUGGGAAUGUGGGAAUCACAUUAUUCCGAUUUUGGUGUUUGUUUGUUUUUUUAAAAAUAUGAUGCUGUCAUGAAUCUGUCACAGAGUUUGAGACUAUUGUCAACAAAAAUGAAAAUCACAACAACUGAAAGCUGUCAAGCUAAAACUCUAAAUUCCUACAUUAGCACAACUGCAACACGGGGGAUCUCUUAUUUUCGCUUUACUGUUGCCAGUGAGUCAGCUGAGUGUGGUUUCAUGUUACAUAAUUGGGCUGACUAAAUCGUUUUCAGAAAUUUCUGGGGCUCUGUCAGUCGCAUGCCGACAGGGGGUACAGUACUUAGGAAAGCAAAAACAGCAGAGUGACUAAGCACAGAUUUGCACACAACACACUGGGGCCAAGUGUUGUUUACUGAUGUUCAGGGCUGUCAGAGACUUCAGAAAUACCCCCAUGUCAUUCGUGGUUUUGUUACUUUCCUCACAAGUUAAAUAAUCUUACCUAAAUAGUUUGAUAUUUACAUUUUUUAUCUCUCUCUUGAGGAAAUUAAAAAAAAAAGCUUCAAGUUGUCAAUAAUCGGCUCUUUCUGUGUCAUUAAAAUCAAGAUUAAAAGUGCUUUUAUAAAUCUUUUCUUCUUUAUGUACAAUUUGUAUUAGCUAUAUAAAAAAUGAUGAAAAAAAACAAUAACAUCAAAGACAAUCAUUAUCAUUAUCACCAUGUAGUAAUAAAUAAGAGUAAAAAAAAAAAAAAAGCAGGUUAAAAUGAGUGUGGAGAUCUAGAGCACACAAAGGGACAUGCAUGAUUCUCUGCCCUCAGUAGCAAGUCGUGAUUGUGACCAGUGUCUCUACAGCGUGAGGUAGAGAGCUGGAGAAAAUCGGGAGAGGUAACAGGGUCUUUCACAGAUGACCAGGGCCUUGGCCCAAACGACCGCCCAGCAGCUGGGAGUCGGCUUGCAUCAGCAGUCUCUCAUUUUCAUUUCUGACACAUGUUGCAGGUGAACCAUGUGACCACAAAGGGAAAUAAAAACGAGCGAUUUACGGACUCUCGCCAGGCUAUCAAAUAGUCUCUCUCUUUGGCUCUUUUCAGACACACUCGCACGCAAAGUGAGAGAUUCAUCAAUCUGAUGCGCUCGCGUUCGGCGCCAAACCCUGGAAGCUACAGAAAUUUUCUACGGUUUCCCUUUUAUCUCUCAGUACUAUUUUCUCUGUGAAAAGCACUGCUAAAUGGGUUACCAAGAAAUGCAGUGAAUGACUGUGCUUUCUCUGCCCUGUACAGUGUACUUUUCUUUUUGUUUGAG